AUUCCUGGAUUUCUUAGGUUUUUUUGCUAAAAUCAAAACUUACGUCAAAAUAACAUGGAAAUACGCGAAAAACGGCCAAAAGGGGCAAAAAGAAUCUCAUCGGGGUCAGUCUAGGGUUUUGGCCGCCGUGCUGCGCCACUGGUUCUGCCUUCUACGGCUUCUCCUCUCGAUUAGGCUAGUUUCAAGCGGUUCUGGGUGAAAAUAUGCUCAAUUCGUGGUUAGG
rnacentral:lncRNA from 1 species